rnacentral:rRNA from 1 species
AUUGAACGCUGGCGGCAUGCUUUACACAUGCAAGUCGAACGGCAGCGCGGGCUUCGGCCUGGCGGCGAGUGGCGAACGGGUGAGUAAUGCAUCGGAACGUGCCCAGUAGUAGGGGGUUAGCCCGGCGAAACCCGGUUUAUUCCCCCUUACGCCUUGAGGGUGAAAGCGGGGGCCCGAAAGCCUCCGGCUUUUUGGACCGCCCGAUGUCGGAUUAGCUAGUUGGUGGGGUAAAGGCUUACCAAGGCGACGAUCCGUAGCUGGUCUGAGAGGACGACCAGCCACACUGGGACUGAGACACGGCCCAGACUCCUACGGGAGGCAGCAGUGGGGAAUUUUGGACAAAGGGGGCAACCCUGAUCCAGCCAUGCCGCGUGCGGGAAGAAGGCCUUCGGGUUGUAAACCGCUUUUGUUCGGGAAGAAAUCCUCUGGGCUAAUACCCCGGGGGGAUGACGGUACCGGAAGAAUAAGCACCGGCUAACUACGUG